GAUGAAGAACGUAGCGAAAUGCGAUAAGUAAUGUGAAUUGCAGAAUUCAGUGAAUCAUCGAAUCUUUGAACGCACCUUGCGCUCUUUGGUAUUCCGAAGAGCAUGCCUGUUUGAGUAUCAUGAAAAUAUCAACCUUGACUUGGGUUUUGUGCUCUAGUCUCGGCUUGGAAUUGGGUGCUUGCCGCUUUUACGAGCGGCUCACCUUAAAUGUAUUAGCUGGAUCUGUCUUUGAGACUUGGUUUGACUUGGCGUAAUAAGUAUUUCGCUAAGGACAUUCUUCGGAGUGGCCUCGUUUCUAGGACGCUUGUCCGCUUUCCAAUACAAGUUCCACCUCGUGGACAUGACUUUUUAUUAUCUGGCCUCAAAUCAGGUAGGACUACCCGCUGAACUUAAGCAUAUCAAUAAGCGGAGGA
rnacentral:misc_RNA from 1 species